GGGGAAUAUUGCGCAAUGGGGGAAACCCUGACGCAGCGUCGCCGUGUGAGGGAAGAAGGCUUUCGGGUCGUAAACCUCUGUCGGGAAGGAAGAACCCCCCAGGUCCGAAUAGGGCCUGGGGCUGACGGUACUUCCAAAGGAAGCACCGGCUAACUCCGUGCCAGCAGCCGCGGUAAUACGGAGGGUGCAAGCGUUAAUCGGAAUCACUGGGCGUAAAGCGCGCGUAGGCGGCUUUUUAAGUGGGACGUGAAAGCCCUCGGCUCAACCGGGGAAUUGCGUUCGAAACUGGGAGGCUUGAGGGAUGUAGGGGAGAACGGAAUUCCUGGUGGAGCGGUGGAAUGCGCAGAUAUCAGGAGGAACACCAGUGGCGAAGGCGGUUCUCUGGACAUUUCCUGACGCUGAGAAGCGAAAGCGUGGGGAGCAAACA
rnacentral:rRNA from 1 species